rnacentral:rRNA from 1 species
CACAAGCGGUGGAGCAUGUGGUUUAAUUCGAUGAUACGCGAGGAACCUUACCUGGGCUCAAAUGUAUGUUGACGUAUUCUGAAAGGGAUACUUCUUCGGACAAUAUACAAGGUGCUGCAUGGUUGUCGUCAGCUCGUGCCGUGAGGUGUCGGGUUAAGUCCCAUAACGAGCGCAACCCUAUCAUUAGUUGCCAUCAGGUCAAGCUGGGGACUCUAAUGAAACUGCCUACGCAAGUAGUGAGGAAGGUGGGGAUGACGUCAAGUCCUCAUGGCCCUUAUGACCAGGGCUACACACGUACUACAAUGGCCGAUACAAAGGGCAGCGACACUGCGAGGUGAAGCCAAUCCCGUAAAAUCGGUCUCAGUCCGGAUUGGAGUCUGCAACUCGACUCCAUGAAGUUGGAAUCGCUAGUAAUCGUGGAUCAGCAUGCCACGGUGAAUACGUUCCCGGGCCUU